rnacentral:rRNA from 1 species
UACAGAGGGUGCAAGCGUUGUUCGGAAUUAUUGGGCGUAAAGCGCGUGUAGGCGGCUUUGCAAGUCGGGUGUGAAAGCCCUCGGCUCAACCGAGGAAGUGCGCCCGAAACUGCAGAGCUUGAGUACCGGAGAGGGUGGCGGAAUUCCCCAAGUAGAGGUGAAAUUCGUAGAUAUGGGGAGGAACACCGGUGGCGAAGGCGGCACGCUGGACCCCCACUGACGCUGAGGCGCGAAAGCCAGGGGAGCGAACGGG